CCUAAAUGUCAUUGCUUAGUUAUUCAUGUUCUCACUUGAAACCACAUCGUCAUCAACCUCUAGUUCAUACUAACACAAGAUACUACAAUGUUAACAGAUUAACAGGAGAGGUCUAGAUACUACAAUGUUAACAGAUUAACAGGAGAGGUCUAGAUACUACAAUGUUAACAGAUUAACAGGAGAGGUCUAGAUACUACAAUGUUAACAGAUUAACAGGAGAGGUCUAGAUACUACAAUGUUAACAGAUUAACAGCAGAGGUGUAGAUACUACAAUGUUAACAGAUUAACAGCAGAGGUCUAGAUACUACAAUGUUAACAGAUUAACAGGAGAGGUCUAGAUACUACAAUGUUAACAGAUUAACAGGAGAGGUCUAGAUACUACAAUGUUAACAGAUUAACAGCAGAGAUCUAGAUACUACAAUGUUAACAGAUUAACAGGAGAAGUCUAGAUACUACAAUGUUAACAGAUUAACAGCAGAGGUCUAGAUACUACAAUGUUAACAGAUUAACAGGAGAGGUCUAGUCACAUGUAGUAGAUGGUACUCCUUAUUCAUCUUUCUUGGAAAAGUUUUUUACCUGCUUGAUUUCUA
rnacentral:lncRNA from 1 species